AUUGAACGCUGGCGGCAGGCCUAACACAUGCAAGUCGAGCGGAUGAAGGGAGCUUGCUCCUGGAUUCAGCGGCGGACGGGUGAGUAAUGCCUAGGAAUCUGCCUGGUAGUGGGGGAUAACGUCCGGAAACGGGCGCUAAUACCGCAUACGUCCUGAGGGAGAAAGUGGGGGAUCUUCGGACCUCACGCUAUCAGAUGAGCCUAGGUCGGAUUAGCUAGUUGGUGGGGUAAGGGCCUACCAAGGCGACGAUCCGUAACUGGUCUGAGAGGAUGUUCAGUCACACUGGAACUGAGACACGGUCCAGACUCCUACGGGAGGCAGCAGUGGGGAAUAUUGGACAAUGGGCGAAAGCCUGAUCCAGCCAUGCCGCGUGUGUGAAGAAGGUCUUCGGAUUGUAAAGCACUUUAAGUUGGGAGGAAGGGCAGUAAGUUAAUACCUUGCUGUUUUGACGUUACCAACAGAAUAAGCACCGGCUAACUUCGUG
rnacentral:rRNA from 1 species